GACAAGAUGUUAGAUUUAUUACUGCUCUCAGUCCAUGGCCUCCAAAUGCACGAAUCUGCUGUCUAAUCUACAGAAAACACAAUCUUCUGUAAAGCAUCUACUCAACAGCUCACCACCAUCAUACUUUACCUAGAUGCUUUUAAAAACUUCUCAGGUACCUGCACGUCAAAUACUCUUCAACUCAGCAAUGAUUUUUUCUGGGAAACAGUCACGCUAAAGACCAAAGAUUUUCUGAAAUUAUUCACCA
rnacentral:lncRNA from 1 species